rnacentral:rRNA from 1 species
UACGUAGGGUCCGAGCGUUGUCCGGAAUUACUGGGCGUAAAGAGCUCGUAGGUGGUUUGUCGCGUUGUCCGUGAAAACUCACAGCUCAACUGUGGGCGUGCGGGCGAUACGGGCAGACUGGAGUACUGCAGGGGAGACUGGAAUUCCUGGUGUAGCGGUGGAAUGCGCAGAUAUCAGGAGGAACACCGGUGGCGAAGGCGGGUCUCUGGGCAACAACUGACGCUGAGGAGCGAAAGCGUGGGGAGCGAACAGG